GUUGCUGGUGUGACUUCCU
rnacentral:miRNA from 1 species